rnacentral:rRNA from 1 species
CCUUUGACGUUAGCGGCGGACGGGUGAGUAACACGUGGGUAACCUACCUAUAAGACUGGGAUAACUUCGGGAAACCGGAGCUAAUACCGGAUAAUAUUUCGAACCGCAUGGUUCGAUAGUGAAAGGUGGUUUUGCUAUCACUUAUAGAUGGACCCGCGCCGUAUUAGCUAGUUGGUAAGGUAACGGCUUACCAAGGCGACGAUACGUAGCCGACCUGAGAGGGUGAUCGGCCACACUGGAACUGAGACACGGUCCAGACUCCUACGGGAGGCAGCAGNU